UUGCGUGGGGGCACCCUGACCGCAAUGCCGCGUGAGUGAAGAAGGCCUUCGGGUUGUAAAGCUCUUUUGUCAGGGAAGAAACAGCAGCUCUAACACAGCUGUGAAUGACGGUACCUGAAGAAUAAGCACCGGCUAACUACGUGCCAGCAGCCGCGGUAAUACGUAGGGUGCAAGCGUUAAUCGGAAUUACUGGGCGUAAAGCGUGCGCAGGCGGUUAUACAAGACAGGCGUGAAAUCCCCGGGCUUAACCUGGGAAUUGCGUCUGUGACUGUAUGGCUAGAGUGUGUCAGAGGGGGGUAGAAUUCCACGUGUAGCAGUGAAAUGCGUAGAUAUGUGGAGGAAUACCAAUGGCGAAGGCAGCCCCCUGGGAUAACACUGACGCUCAUGCACGAAA
rnacentral:rRNA from 1 species